rnacentral:misc_RNA from 1 species
GGCAAUUAUUACACGUCUUAGGAAUUUAGAAACACAUAGCCGAUACUUUUCAGGGACAUGGAAAAGGGUAAAGUACAUUGAAUCCCAUUCUUGUAUUUUAUGCAUCCAUCCAAUAACUUCUCUACUGCUAAGAUUCAGAUUGUUUCCGCCAGACGACACUUUUUCUGCAAUUCUUUCAAUAUACUGAAUUAUCUCAAUGGUAUCAUAUAUGAUGUGAGAACCAUUCUGGAACACAGGAACUUUCGCACUUGGAUUCAUACUGAAGAAAAAUGCAUCCAUGUUCUUGCCCGUUAAAGGGUUCACAUGAUGCGAUGUGUAAUCAAUACCUUUCUCUUCCAAAGUAAGUCUCACCUUCUGGCUGUUCAAG